GCGAUGUAGGUGGAAGCAGCGGUGGAGGAGGAGGAUGAGGUAGCCAACACUGUUUUUUAUAUAUAUAUUUUUGAAUUGGGGUAGCCCCAAAAUAUUGGGACAUAUAAAAAAAGACAACUCUGUUCCACAGAGUAGCUGUUGACAUUAAAGUUGCGCAGGCACUUUGUUGACUAGAGAACCUUGGGCCAAUUGCACAUCCCUGUGUCGGCGACUUUGCAUGCAGAUGUCAUCCAUAUCAGUUUCUGCACCUACCAUGGUGACCACAGGUAAUGGGGAAUCAGAGUUCCAUUCCAUUCAGGGACCCUGAGAAAUGGCUACCACAUGCAAGGAAGGCAGCAGGC